CACAAGCGUAUAUUAAAGCUGCUGCAGUUAAAACGCUCGUAGUUGUGGUUUCGUUAGCGAGAAGGCCUGUGUCUCAAAAAGAUGCGGGUCGGCUGGCUAAUUACAAUCUAGUAUGUGUGUUAACUCACACAUACUAAGUAAACCUUGAAGAAAUAUUGGCGCUUAAAACUUGACUUAGGUCAAAGUUCUUUUUGCAUGGGAUUUUAGAAUACGAGUGGUGGAGUAAAAUCCGCCGCUAAUGACAUUUGAGGAUGAAAGAGGAAGUUAAUAUUUGCGAGUCAGAGGUGAAAUUCUUGGAUUUCGCAAAGAUUAACUAAUGCGAAGGCAUUCUUCAAUUGCUUUCCUGUCAAUCAAGAACGAAAGUUAGGGGAUCGAAGACGAUCAGAUACCGU
rnacentral:rRNA from 1 species